rnacentral:rRNA from 1 species
GACGAACGCUGGCGGCGCGCCUAACACAUGCAAGUCGAACGAGAGAUGAAGAGCUUGCUCUUCAAAUCGAGUGGCGAACGGGUGAGUAACGCGUGAGGAACCUGCCUCAAAGAGGGGGACAACAGUUGGAAACGACUGCUAAUACCGCAUAAGCCCACGGCUCGGCAUCGAGCAGAGGGAAAAGGAGCAAUCCGCUUUGAGAUGGCCUCGCGUCCGAUUAGCUAGUUGGUGAGGUAACGGCCCACCAAGGCGACGAUCGGUAGCCGGACUGAGAGGUUGAACGGUCACAUUGGGACUGAGACACGGCCCAGACUCCUACGGGAGGCAGCAGUGGGGAAUAUUGCACAAUGGGGGGAACCCUGAUGCAGCGACGCCGCGUGGAGGAAGAAGGGUCUUCGGAUUGGUAAACUCCUGUUGUUGAGGAAGAUAAUGACGGUACUCAACAAGGAGGUGACGGCUAACUACGUG